GACGAACGCUGGCGGCGUGCUUAACACAUCCAAGUCGAACGGAAAGGCCCGGCUUUUGUGGGGUGCUCGAGUGGCGAACGGGGGAGUAACACGUGAGUAACCUGCCCUUGACUUUGGGAUAACUUCAGGAAACUGGGGCUAAUACCGGAUAGGAGCUCCUGCUGCAUGGUGGGGGUUGGAAAGUUUCGGCGGUUGGGGAUGGACUCGCGGCUUAUCAGCUUGUUGGUGGGGUAGUGGCUUACCAAGGCUUUGACGGGUAGCCGGCCUGAGAGGGUGACCGGCCACCUUGGGCCUGCGAUACGGCCCAGACUCCUACGGGCGGCAGCAGUGGGGAAUAUUGCACAAUGGGCGGAAGCCUGAUGCAGCAACGCCCCGUGCGGGAUGACGGCCUUCGGGUUGUAAACCGCUUUCGCCUGUGACGAAGCGUGAGUGACGGUAAUGGGUAAAGAAGCACCGGCUAACUACGUG
rnacentral:rRNA from 1 species